GGGGGUAAAGCUCAGUGGUAGAGCAUGUGCUUAGCAUGCAUAGCAUGCACGAGGUCCUGGGUUCAAUCCCCAGUACCUCCA
rnacentral:tRNA from 1 species